GUGCUUGCUACGGCAGCACACCUACUAAAAUUGGAACGAUACAGAGAAGAUUAGCAUGGCCCCUUCCUUCAGGAUGGUGCACGUUCUUCUCGGUUUC
ensembl:snRNA U6 U6 spliceosomal RNA